rnacentral:tRNA from 45 species
GGGGCUAUAGCUCAGGCGGUUAGAGCGCUUCACUGAUAAUGAAGAGGUCCCAGGUUCAAGUCCUGGUAGCCCCACCC